rnacentral:lncRNA from 1 species
CAUGCCACUCUUUUACAUUUCGGGGUGCAUCUAGAGAACGGUCAGAGAGUAUAUUUGACAGCGUCGAAUGCUGCUCAACGUGCCGAAACACCUCCAAGGACAACACUGACCACUUUCUUUUGCGAUUUGUCCAACCGAUCCGUUCGCACGAACUUUGCUUUACUCAGAAAUGCUAUGUUAUUACACUUGGAACGCUACAUCGAAGAAAUUUCAACGUCGGAAGCAAGGCGAUGCAGUUCCUGGUCAUCCAGAUAUGCGUUUUACUGAUGAUGAAAGAAUGAUGAAUGUUUCUAUUUGCGAUUGUUGCUGGUACAUGUUCGAGGGCCAACAUAAUUUGAAUCACUGCGAACUGUUAAUCGUGUGCCCCACAUUUCGUGCAGCAUGUCUAGAGCUAAAUUUGCUUGAAAACGAUACUCAUUGGGACACGACAAUCGCUGAAGCAAUUAUUUGCUAUCAUCAUUUCAACAUGCUUCCCAUCGAACCCACUUGACCUGUGGAACAAAUACAAAGAUACCAUGUCCGAAGAUAUUUUACAUCGAAUUCGCGUCAGCUCAAGAAAUUACGAUCUUGAGGUGAAUGAGGAGAUCCAUAACCAGACUUAGCUCUUGAUCGAAGAUAUGUGUUACCUCAUGUGCGGCAGUUUGUUAGUUAGGUUAGGUUAGUUAGGAAUGCCAGCACCAGAUCGCGGAAUGAAUGACGCAUUUAAUAGAGAAUUGGAACGUGAACAUGAAUAUGAUCCACAUGAACUAAUCUAAUCAGUUCAAACGAAUGUACCUCUGUUGAAUCCUAAGCAGAGGGAAGUCUAUGAUACACUGAUUAAUGCAAUUGAUGAUGGAAAUGGCGGCUUAUUUUUUUUGGAUGCCCCCGGUGGACCUGGGACCUGGGGACCUGGGGUCAUUGAUUUUGGCCACUGUACGUGAGAGAUACGAAAUUGCGGUAGCAAUUGCUUUUUCUUGAAUAUCGGCCACAUUGUUAGACGGAUGCCGUACGGCUCACUCAGCGUUAAAAUUGCCAUUAAACCUUCAAACUACUGAACAACCGACAUGUAACAUUUCGAAAAACUCCGCAAUGACCAAAGUUUUAGUAGCAUCAAAAAUCAUCAUAUGGGACGAAUGCACAAUGGCGCACAAACGCGCAUUGGAAGCACUAGACCGAACACUAAAAGAUCUGCGCAAUGACUCAAGAUGUUUUGGUGGUGCAAUGAUUUUAUUAUCUGGCGAUUUCCGACAAACACUACCAGUCAUUCCAAGAUCUACUGCUGCAGACGAAAUAAACGCUUGCCUCAAAGCAUCAAAUCUGUGGCGAUAUGUAAAGAAACUUCAACUGUCUGUAAAUAUGAGAGUUGCAUUGUUGAACGAUCUGCUGAUGAUUUCUCGAACCAAUUGCUGACUAUCAGUAAUGGCCGCGUUCCUGUUUCCUCCAAAUUUUUGCAAUUUCGUAUCAUCAAAAGACGAGCUUAUCAUUCCCGGAUAUCAUUGCUAACCACAAAAAUACAAAAUGGUUAAGUGAGCGAGCAAUUUUGGCCGCUAAAAAUAAAAAUGUAGAUGACCU